ACCUGGGUAGCUCAGUCAGUUAAGCGUCUGACCUCAGCUCAGGUCAAGAUCUCACGGCUCGUGGGUUCGAGCCCCACAUCAGGCU
rnacentral:tRNA from 1 species